AGCGAACGCUGGCGGCAGGCUUAACACAUGCAAGUCGAGCGGGCGUAGCAAUACGUCAGCGGCAGACGGGUGAGUAACGCGUGGGAACGUACCUUUUGGUUCGGAACAACACAGGGAAACUUGUGCUAAUACCGGAUAAGCCCUUACGGGGAAAGAUUUAUCGCCGAAAGGGAUCGGCCCGCGUCUGAUUAGCUAGUUGGUGAGGUAAUGGCUCACCAAGGCGACGAUCAGUAGCUGGUCUGAGAGGAUGAUCAGCCACAUUGGGACUGAGACACGGCCCAGACUCCUACGGGUGGCAGCAGUGGGGAAUAUUGGACAAUGGGCGAAAGCCUGAUCCAGCAAUGCCGCGUGAGUGAUGAAGGCCCUAGGGUUGUAAAGCUCUUUUACCAGGGAUGAUAAUGACAGUACCUGGAGAAUAAGACUCCGGGCUAACUCCGUGCCAGCAGCCGCGGUAAUCUGAGUCGGAG
rnacentral:rRNA from 1 species